GCAAUUUCUUGUUAAUUGUAUUCAUGAAAUCCAUAAACAAUAAACUGUUAUAUGAGCCAUACUCUGGGAUAACCGGGCUUAAUGCAUUUGUGUUAAGUAUAGUACCAGAUUAGCAGAUGUGCAGUCCUAACAUGUUAAUCAGGGUCGACGCUAUCCGCCUUGCCUGGAUUAUCUUUUAAAAGAGACGUCCUUUAAAUGAAAAAUUCAAUCUAUGAAGAAAGUGUCGUCCCAUCACCCUGUGCGAACUGCACACAUAAUCUGGGACAACUGAGCCCUGUCAAAACAUGUGUUCGACGGGUAUGUGAUAAAAGGUAAAAAUAUAACUUAAUUUUUAUAUUUGCGAAAUGAACGUUAAGGUUUUAUUGACAUAGUACUAAAGUGUCGACUGAUUUCUAUAUUUCACUGACCAUGCAAAAAUGAAAUUCUUAAAUGCUUUUUGGUCAUUGCAGGGUUGUAUUUGUCAUGUCCGUUGAAAUUUGUCUCAACUGUUUGCUAACAAAUGUGUGCUAGAGUUUGAAAUUACUCAAAUUAGUAACACAAUUUAUUGGGUGCAUAAGAUUAAUUCAAAUAACUUUGAUAUCAACAACAAUAACAAAUAAUCAUACAGGAGUACCUUGCAUAAUUCAACAAUUUUACCUGAUAGAAUGCAUUUCACACCAAACAAAAUCUGUGUUUCCUAGAUUUAAAAUGCUGUCAAUAUAACAAUUUAGCAAGUGUCACUUGUUACAAUUUUGUGAAAUUGCUAAAAAGUUGGACAGAUUAUAUACAUGAUUAUUUUUUUGUACAAAAGCACGAUGUUGUUAUUUUCAUAUUGAUAAAGCAAGAGAACAAGUUGAAUACAACUGAAUGCAGAAUUGAAAAUCACCGUAAAGAAUAACAUAGUAAGUUUAAAUGAGAUGUCCAAUUGGUAUCCUGCUAAGGGGAAAGAGGAAAACGGUUCAUACAAGAAAGACAAAAUCAACGAAUGUAAAAAAUAAAGCGAAAGCGACGACGUGUUUGACGAAUUUUCAGUGGAAGUGAGGCGCUGGCUAAAAUUGUUCGGCGAUAGAGAAAGCAAGGCCAUGACCGGGAUUCCAGUAGACACAAAGCCCUUGCUCGAUGAUCUAGAAAGCAAGGCAGUUACCGAGCUUUCUGUGGACACAGAGCUCUUGCUUGGUGUUGGAAAAAGCUUAAAGUGACCGGAAUCUCUGUUGAAGAAGGGCGCUUGCAGGGAAAUGGAAAAAGACACUCAGUGACCGGGAUGCUUGUGGACGCAGGACGCUUGCCCGGUGGUUGGGAAAGCAAGGCGGUGAACGGCAUCUCUGUUGACGAAGAGCACUUUCAGGUAGAUGGAGAAAGAAGGACAGUGUAUGGUCAUGUGGGAGACACAGGGACAUUGUCCGAGUGCGAGGGCUUCUUACAGCAUCGGCUUGGACGAUAUCGCAAUGCAUCAUAUGGGGGCCGAUAUUUGUCAGUAGAACGCUUGUUUCAGAAUCUACAUGGGACAAGGCGAGGACAGCAAGGCGUUGUCCGUGGAGAAUGUGCACUUGCUACGACGCCUUUGUGAAGAAAAACAGGAUAAGGCGUUGCGCCCUCAUUCGACAAAGUUUUGAACACGGAUACAUUCAGAUGAGCGUGAAAUUAUCUAUAUGGUGAGCUAAGCAACAAAGACUGGAGGGUUAUUGUGGACAACGAAAACGGCUAAACUUGUUGAACUUCCAUAGACAUUAUGUUGUUAAUGAUAUAUUCAAGAAUAUUGAACUGCAAGGCGAUGUCCAUAUCCAUGGAUAACUUGCAUUUGCUAAAGUGGACGACUUGAUUUCUAGACUAAUGGAUUUCGCUACAGCCACAGUCAAACGGUCUGGUAGCUGCCUUUAGGUAGAAUAACUCACCGCAAUUACCCAUAAUAAUUACUAGUCAUUACUAGUCAUUCUUACAAUAUAUACUGAAUUGAACAAUAUAUAUUCCUGUGAAUAAUUUUACUUGCCAAAUUGUGUGCUUUAAAAUACAACAUAAUUCAGUAUUAAUAACAUAGAUAUAUUUUUGAAUCGAAUUUAAAAUCAGUUAAUAUGUUUAUUUAUUUAUUUUUUUUAUUGGAUUUCGAAUUCAACUUACAAUAACCGAGCUAAUUAUGAUUUAUUUGCCUGGUGUUGAAUUGUUCAUAUACAUGUACGGUACAAUACAACCAAAGCCUGUUUGCCACAUUUAAGCAUUUAAGAAGACCUACAUAUUGACAUAGCUUACAAAACUGCAAAUAGGCAAUAAAUAACAAACCAAUUAUUAUAAAAAGAUC